AAUAAUUAAUUUCGGUAAUUAAUAAGGCUUUUUUGUAGUUUAAUGGAGUUGGUAUUAGUAACAGAGGUAUUUUGCGAUAGUCAGCCAGUUUUUCAAGCAUAAUUCAUAAUUAUUUAUUAUGCUAAUGCGACCUGUAAGCCUUUUUAAACAGCUAUCGUUUCGAACAAUAUGCUUAAUUGCACAUUUUAGACAUUCAACGAACCCAUUGGAAUAACCCCAUUUGUAUUCCUUGUUAAAUGGAGUAAAAUGUUGGGACCACCCUCGUCCAAGUGCCAACAUUUCCCCUCAGUGACUGUCAAACCAGCGGAAAAGAGGCAUCAAGUUUUGUCAUCUUCGAGCAGCUUUUCAUUCAAUUGCUUGUGUGCUCAUUUAGAUGGGGAAAUGUAUGUGUACUGAAAUUAGAAAUUCAAUUACACGCUUUGCCACACAGCAAUGACCUUCAAGACAAA
rnacentral:sRNA from 1 species